GAUGAACGCUAGCUACAGGCUUAACACAUGCAAGUCGAGGGGAAACGGCAUUGAGUGCUUGCACUCUUUGGACGUCGACCGGCGCACGGGUGAGUAACGCGUAUCCAACCUUCCCAUUACUGUGGGAUAACCUGCCGAAAGGCAGACUAAUACCGCAUGGUCUUCGAUGACGGCAUCAGAUUUGAAGUAAAGAUUUAUCGGUAAUGGAUGGGGAUGCGUCUGAUUAGCUUGUUGGCGGGGUAACGGCCCACCAAGGCAACGAUCAGUAGGGGUUCUGAGAGGAAGGUCCCCCACAUUGGAACUGAGACACGGUCCAAACUCCUACGGGAGGCAGCAGUGAGGAAUAUUGGUCAAUGGACGGAAGUCUGAACCAGCCAAGUAGCGUGCAGGAUGACGGCCCUAUGGGUUGUAAACUGCUUUUGUAUGGGGAUAAAGUUAGGGACGUGUCCCUAUUUGCAGGUACCAUACGAAUAAGGACCGGCUAAUUCCGUGCCAGCAGCCGCGGUAAUACGGAAGGUCCAGGCGUUAUCCGGAUUUAUUGGGUUUAAAGGGAGCGUAGGCUGGAGAUUAAGUGUGUUGUGAAAUGUAGACGCUCAACGUCUGAAUUGCAGCGCAUACUGGUUUCCUUGAGUACGCACAACGUUGGCGGAACUCGUCGUGUAGCGGUGAAAUGCUUAGAUAUGACGAAGAACUCCGAUUGCGAAGGCAGCUGACGGGAGCGCAACUGACGCUUAAGCUCGAAGGUGCGGGUAUCAAACAGG
rnacentral:rRNA from 1 species